UACGUAGGGUGCGAGCGUUAAUCGGAAUUACUGGGCGUAAAGUGUGCGCAGGCGGCCGCGCAAGUCGAGUGUGAAAGCCCCGAGCUUAACUUGGGAAUUGCGCUCGAAACUACGUGGCUGGAGUGUGGCAGAGGAAGGUGGAAUUCCAGGUGUAGCGGUGAAAUGCGUAGAGAUCUGGAGGAACACCGAUGGCGAAGGCAGCCUUCUGGGCCAACACUGACGCUCAUACACGAAAGCGUGGGGAGCAAACAGG
rnacentral:rRNA from 1 species